rnacentral:rRNA from 1 species
ACGGAAGGCAGCAGUGGGGAAUAUUGCACAAUGGGCGCAAGCCUGAUGCAGCGCUGCCGCGUGAGGGAAGAAGGUUUUCGGAUUGUAAACCUCUGUCAACAGGGACGAAAAUGACGGUACCUGUGAAGGAAGCUCCGGCUCACUACGUGCCAGCAGCCGCGGUAAUACGUAGGGAGCAAGCGUUAUCCGGAAUUACUGGGUGUAAAGGGAGUGUAGGCGGGACUGUAAGUCAGAUGUGAAAUAUGCCGGCUCAACUGGCAGACUGCAUUUGAAACUGCGGUUCUUGAGUGAAGUAGAGGUAAGCGGAAUCCCUAGUGUAGCGGUGAAAUGCGUAGAUAUUAGGAGGAACAUCAGUGGCGAAGGCGGCUUACUGGGCUUUAACUGACGCUGAGGCUCGAAAGCGUGGGGAGCAAACAGGAUUAGAUACCCUGGUA